CAACCUCCAGCCCGCCUCCAUCUCCUGCCCUGCUCCGCCCCGCCCGGCUGCCACCGCGCCGCCGGCCAUUGCCCCGCGCCGCCGCCUCCUACCCCGCCGGUGCGCCUACCCCUGCAGCCAUGGCGCAUCACCCUCCAGCUAGACCCCUCCUCGGGCAAGAUCUCCUCCCAGAGCAAGACGACGAGCACGACCCAGCCCCACCCGCGCACGUCACCGCCCCAUCCGUCGUGGCACCACCCUCCCCCUUCUCUCGAUUGACAGGAUUCGCCGCAUCUCGCGUGACGUGACACGGCUGUGCUUCACCUGUCACCGGCCUCCUUCCGGUUCCCUUGGUCGCAGACGAUGGUCAGGCACCGAUGAGGAGUUGUUCGCCAAUCGAAGGAAUGGAUGAAGGAUGUGGUAUCCAGCCGGCGAGUCCCAGCCACAUUACCUUGCCGAACGCUGUGGUGCUCAGCAAUAAUUUUUGGUUUGAUGGAUUGUCGUUGGCUGUUGCAGGUAAGAUGUUGACAAAUUGUUUCUUUCAGAUUUAGAGUGUCAUUGUACAAUGGCUUGCUAUGGGCCUAAGUAACGUAGGUUUACUGAUCAAUUUUGUAGCUAAUCAUCAGUAUCAAGAAGUAUUCACUAGCACUUCCUGUGUCGAUUGCUAUGGCUAACUUCUGUAAGGUCAUUUUUAGCCAAAAUUUGUUGUACAUGUAGACACAAGGUUCAUUAAUGGUAAUAGAUGAUUAGAGAGCAGCAAUGAAAUACUAUAUGUGCCUAAAUUGAUAUAUUUAACUCCAUGUAAGUAUUAUUAUGCAGUGGUGUAUUGUUCUUUCUCUGAAUUAUAUGUACCAAACUGUAUGUUCAGCACUACUUCAGCUUCACGUAUGUGGCAAUGUAGCUUGUGAGCCUAGCUAUAUUAUGCGCAAAUAUAAAAAUCUGCAGUUCUUUAUCAGCAUAAUAAUCAUGACCUUCAAGGGAUGCCCAUUGUAAUUUUGGUAUAUACUUGAGAUAUUUGUUUUGGUGUCUGCUUGGGAAUAAGGGUAAAAGGUCCAGAGAUGAAAGCCUCACUUCAAAUUCUGUGAUGGGUCUCUCUAACAUUGCAAUUAUGCAAUAAAUUCCUCUCGAAUUUACUAUAUAUUACCAGCUUCCUUCCAUUUAAUUUAUAUAUUUAAUCCCAUCAAUGUCUAUGUCACAUGCUUCAUCAAUGUCUAUGUCAUCAACUACGCUAUGACAGGGUAGUAGUUGCAAGUGUGCGAAGAAGGAUAACGCAUGCUAGAGCCUGCAGGUAGUAAUAGUUGAUUAUACUUGAUCGGUUUGAUCCUUUCUACACGGCAACACCAAAUUCAGUGUAUUUUUAUUGACGUAGGUACUCAAAUUCAGUAAGAGUUGGUACUGGACAUCAUGUAUACUAAUUGAUAAGGCUUUGGUUAGUUCUGAUCACCAGCCUACCGGUUAGUUUUAUCUGUGAAAAAGUUGUGCCCCUACUUUCUAAUGGAUAUGCAGCUGUGUAUUCCUAAGAAAAGUAUAUGAGCUAGGAAUUCGACUACUAGCUCAAGGACCAUCAGGGAGCUGAAUUUUUACAAUGUUUUAGAACUGAGGCAUAGCUAAAGCCCGCAGGUUUUGAAACAUUAAAGUGUAUUUAGUUCAUGUAGUUCUGUGUAUUCCAAGACCCCAAAGAAAGAAAAAGAAGAAAAGAUCAGGAAAAACAUUCCUCCAAGAACAUGUAGAGCACGACAUGGAAAAUACAAUAUAUAGUUGCUGUGCAUAUUAAUUUGUAGAGUACACCAUCAGUUUAAUGGUAAUCUCGGACUCUGCUCCUUCGCUAUUUAAAUUAAACAUACCAGACUUCCAUUAUGUGAUAAGCUAUUGAUAAAUUUUCUAAGAACAAAAGCUUUCUUUUUACAGUCCCAGUUGCAACAUGACAUCAAUUUUUCCUUAGGGGGUCUAAAAUUAAUUAGAUGAUUCCUAGCGCUUAUAGCAUUAUCUAUCUGAGGGAGCUUUUGUUGUUCGGAUUAUACCAAAGAGUCCAGGUACAUAUGCUUAAGCAGAACUAUUUAGUCACAUUUGAUAUCUUUUUUAUCACCAAAUAUAGCAGGGCAUAACUAUUUUCUUAAUCUUCACCAGGUACCACAAAAUUCAGAGUAGUUCAGCGAGUGAUAAAUAGGUUUAUCAUGUCUACCUUUUUUUUGUAUAAAGUUCAGUUGGCAAUAUUUGAAGAAUACAAGGAGCUGUGAGGUGAGUACGGAUCAAAUGAAGAAUGGGCAAAAUGCUCAGGUGUUCAAAUAGUUCUAUUUUUUCUACAUUCAGCCAACUGGAGUAUCCCGCUCUCCCUUCUAUAGGUUCUACAUUUCAAUCCUUAUUUUGUUGAAUCAUCAGGUACUUGCAUUCUAUUGUUCAAGAUGUGUAAUUUUUCUGUAAGUUUUCUGACAGUUAACAAAAUCAUUGACUUAUGAAAGAACUCUUAGUGACGAAAGUGUACAUGCAAUGAGUUAUGCAGUUCACAUACAAUUUUUACCAACAGAUAGUUUCCUUUACUUAAUUGGUUCAUUUAUUAUUCUGUAGUAAUCAAUCAUGUAUUCUUAGAGUUUUGAAGGAUCUCACAUUUCAUGUUGUCUAUAACUAAGCAUGCUUCUAACAAGGGUGAAGGAAAUAUUGUGUGGGAAUGAGUGGAAAUCUAAGCAUUCCUACUUAUAUAUAUAUAUAUAUAUAUAUAUAUAUAUAUAUACACUCUUAUAAGGGCGCGAUGCAAUUUUUCACUCUCCAAAAAACCAACCGGAGCAACUCAAAUGGCCCGCUGAAGCCCAUAACACGACCUGCUAGCGCCGCCGUCUUCCUCCCCAGGCCCCCGCUCGCGCCGCCGCCUUCCUCCCCCGCCCCCCGCUCGCGCCGCCGCCUUCCUCCCCAGGCCCCCGCUCGCGCCGCCGCCUUCCUCCCCCGGCCCCCGCUCGCGCCGCCGCCUUCUUCCCCCGGCCCCCGCUCGCGCCGCCGCUUUCCUCCUCUGUCCCCCAUCGCGCCGCCGUCUUCCCGCACUUGCCACCUAUCGCGCCGCCGCCCUCCCCUGCCCCCCAGCUCGCGCCACGGCCCGCCCUCUCCUGCAGUCCGGUGACCAAGAUGCUUCAGUCCAAAUCCAUGUGCGGGGAGCUACGAGGAUGAAUUGCUUUUUGGUUCAACUCUGAUGCAUUGUCGAUGGGAUUACGUACAAGCCAUUUUUCAAUGCAACAAGAAGAUGUACGAAAACUUGUGCCGAUGUACCUUGUCCUGAAGCUCCUAUACGCACUUAUUUGCCCAGAUGUAUGAAUCUGACCGUAAGAACAAGAUUCGUCGAUGCUCCUCUUUCUCGGCUAGUGGGCCAACACGGGUGUCCUCAUGGUGGCCUCCCUCCGACGAUCUGAGGUGCCCUCAUGGCCUCCUCUGCUUCCUACCUAGCAGAUCACGGCGGCCCUCCCCCACUUGCUGCUCAUCAUCAUCGAUCUCAACAACGAUGAGGGGCCAAAAUAAACGUGAACCUCGUCGCCCUCUUCAUGGUGCUUAAAAGUAUUUAGGUGGGUGGUUCGACACCGCUGCGUCCAGCAGUCCAACACCGCCGCCUGAGGCCGUUCACUGUCGCAAUGCCUACUUUCGCCCGCGCCUCCUUCCCGGUCAUCGUGAGGUGCUUGUUAGGACUUGGGCACGAGCUCGUCCAGCAGGGGUGCUGGCAGCCGUCCAAGUGGAGCGUUGAAAACAGUACGAGUAGAAUCACGGGUCGCGGCCACCAACUUCACCAAGUGCUGCACAUCCGUCCAAGUCGAGCACACACACAGGGAGAACACCAGCGCCUUUGCUUUGCACAUUGCUUGGUCAUGCAUAAUUGCUGAUGGAUGCAGCAAGUGUUUUAUUACUUUGAUCUUCUACAAGACUCAAUUUUUUGUCUCAGUUUUCAUGGAUGCUAGCCGGCAAGUGACAUAAUUUUGGUUGCCAUUUCUCUAUGUAGCAGAUUCCAUCCGCACAAAAAAUGCUACUGCAAAUUCUUCUAUGUAAAAUAUGAAUAAGGUUCAAUUCACAAAAACAUGUGGAAGUUCGCUUGGGAAAUUCUGCAGUCUAUUUGAUUAUGUCAGGAUGUACAGAAUGACGACUCUUUAUUGUGUGCCUUCAGCACAAUUUAAAAUUACUCAUUGACCGUA